ensembl:lincRNA
CGGAGUGCCUAAGCGCUGCCCUCGGUUGUCGAGCUUCCUUUCCCGCACGGCUGGCGAGGGAGGAGGAAGUGCAAAGAGCCGUUGAUCAUGCUGAUGUGGCGGCGGCGGAGCCUGAGGGCCAGUCGCUGGGCUCUGCGAGGUGCAAGAAAGCCUUUGAGUUGAAGAGGUAUGAAGGUCAUCAUGACAGAUGUUAUCCAAAAACUUGUCUGUGAAAUAACUAAAAGGAUCACACAGCAUGUAUUGAGGUGUGGCAUGCAACAUUUUGGAAAGAAAAUUGAAGACUGUCAAGAAAACAUGAACAGAAGUAAAUGAUGAAAUGAGUUUUUUUUUUUUGAUGUUGAUAAAGAUCACAAUAAAUUAUGGAGAAAAUAUGUGUUUGGCUAAUUGUAUAAAUUGCUGAACAAUAAAUUGUUUUCUUUUUAAAUUAGCUCUAAAGAGCUCCAUUCUCAUAGUCACUAGCCAGACCAGUUUUUAACAUACUUGUCGUAUUUGUGGAUGGUGAUUCUCACUGAGGCCAACAGGUGGGGAGACAUUGCUUGUACCUCUAGGUUCCCUGUUUGGCCUCCCCUUCAGAACCUGCUGUUGUGCCAGGUGGUUGGAUUCUUAAAACUUCUGAAUGCCAAAUAGCAAUCGUUUCACCUUUAUUCAGUUUGCUUUUCACCUUUGUGAACAAAAAGUCCUCCUAAUACUAGUACACAUAAUAACUAAGCAAUAUGCUAUGUUAUGAGAAAUAAGAUUGAACAGGCCAUUCUGUCCAGGACUAAAUUGGUAAGAAUUCUAAAGCUGAAUUUAUAUCUGGGUGAAUGAAGGCUUACAGCUAAAUCUUCUGUUGAGUACUAGCUUAUAAAUCACUUUUACCAAGGUUAUAAUUUGCAUGUGAUAAAUGAUACAAAACCUAUAUAACAACAUCUUAGUUCCCUCAAGUAUAGACUUGUGGGGUAUAAAUAUAGUUUGGUUGCAUGGGUAUAUGAAGUAGUUUGGAGUUAGAUUUUUAUGCAGCCAUUACCUGAAUGGUGUAGUUUGUACCCAUUAAGUAAUUUUUCACCCCACUCCCUUCUAAUUAUCCAAUAACUUUUAAAACACCAUUGGCAUCAUAUUGAAUAUUAAUGUAUUACCUCCCAUAAUUGUUUAUCUUUCUGAAUGUACGCUUAUACUCUUUAGGUACCGAAAUAAAAGGUUUAGUAAAUGCAACCCCUGUAAUGAGAAAUGUAAACAUUUAAUUUUUUGUAUGGAAGUGGCCCUCUUUGAGACUGAGGUUGGGAGGGUCCUUUGAGCUGGGGAGACUAAGGUGGCAGUGAGUUGUGAUUGCAUCAGUACACUCCAGCUUGAGUGGCAGCUAUAUAAAUAUAGAUAAGUAAAUAAAAGUCAUUUUUGUGCCAUGCAUGGUGGCUUACCCCUGUAAUCCCAACGCUUUGGGAAACUGAGGUACUGAGAUGGGAGGAUAAGUUGAGGCCAGCCUGGGAAACAUGGCAAAACCCCAUCUCUACAAAAAAAUGUAAAAAUUAGCCCAGGGUGGUGGCAUGUACCUGUAGUCUGAGCUACUUGGAAGGCUAAGGUGGAAGAAUUGCUUGAGACUGCAAGGUCGAGGCUGUAGGAAGCUGAGAUGGUGCCACUGCACUCCAGACUGGGGGACAGCCCCUGUCUCAAAAAAAAAAAAAAAAGUUUUUGAACUUUAAAAGGAUCCUAGUUUUAUAAAAUAGGAAUGUGUUUUGACUUCACCCCAUACAGAGCUAGAAAUGUUUGAAAUGUAGUAUUUGAGACACAAAAUAAAGGUCUUAACCUUAUAGAACUGUAACGUGUAAAUAUUUUGUUGAAAACUACCUUUGUUGCUGAGUGUGUUGGCUCACACCUGUAAUCCCAGCACCUGGAGAGGCUGAGGCAGGCAGAUCAUCUAAGGUCAGGAGUUUGAGACCAGCCUGGCCAACAUGGGGAAACCCUGUCUCUACUAAAAAUAGAAAAAUUAGCUGGUCGUGGUGGAUCGCACCAGUAAUCCCAGCUACUUGGGAGAUUGAGACAGGAGAAUUGCUUGAAUCCAGGAGGCAGAGGUUGCAGUGAACCGAGAUUGCCCUACUGUACUCCAGCCUGGGCGACAGAGUGAGACCCUAUCAAAAACCAAAAACACUAUCUUUGUCUUCUGAAAACUAAUACUAUUUAGACCCUGC